rnacentral:rRNA from 1 species
AGAAUCAACGCUGGCGGCGUGCCUAACACAUGCAAGUCGAACGAGAAAGUGGAGCAAUCCAUGAGUACAGUGGCGUACGGGUGAGUAACACGUGACUAACCUACCCUCGAGUGGGGAAUAACCUCGGGAAACCGGGGCUAAUACCGCAUAACAUCUACGGAUCAAAUGCGUAAGCAGCUUGAGGAGGGGGUCGCGGCUGAUUAGCUAGUUGGCGGGGUAAUGGCCCACCAAGGCGGUGAUCAGUAGCCGGCCUGAGAGGGCGCACGGCCACACUGGAACUGAAACACGGUCCAGACUCCUACGGGAAGCAGCAGUGGGGAAUUUUGCGCAAUGGGGGAAACCCUGACGCAGCAACGCCGCGUGGAGGAUGAAGCCCCUUGGGGUGUAAACUCCUUUCGAUCGGGACGAUUAUGACGGUACCGGAUGAAGAAGCACCGGCUAACUCUGCGCCAGCAGCCGC